rnacentral:rRNA from 1 species
AAUUUAGGUCUAAGAUUCUGUUUGGCGAAUGGUUAGGUUCUAGUAGCGACGAAGGACGUGGUAAGCUGCGAUAAGCCUAGGGUAUGCGCAAGCAGCAUGUGAACCUAGGAUCUCCGAAUGGGAAAUCCCCUUGUAUUCCGAAAGGAAAGUCGACGCGGAAAACUGAAGCAUCUUAUUAGCCGCAGGAAAAGAAAUCAAUUGAGAUGUCGUUAGUAGUGGCGAACGAAAGCGAUGUAGAGCAAACCGAAUCUUUUGGUGAUGAACUAAAAGAGAUGUGGUGUUUUGGACUUGGGUCUUCUCUAACUCAUGAACUCAAAGUCAGCUGGAACGCUGUGCCAUAGAGUGUUAUAGCCACGUAGAGGAAUGUGAGGAGUGAAAUGCCAAGUAUCCAGAGUAAUGGUCCUUGAUUUUGGAUCGUGAAUUCGGGUGGCAUUUACAUCCAACUCUAAACAUAACUAGAAUCCGAUAGCGCAUUUAGUACCGUGAGGGAAAAUUGAAAAGUAUCCUUAACGGGAGGUAAAAAGAGCCUGAAGUCAAACAGAUAUUUUCAGUUGCGGCUUAAAAGCGAAAGCAGAGUUGCAAUAUCCGUUCUGAAAAAUGGGUCAGGGAGUUUAUUUCAGUGGUGAGAUGAAAGUCGUAGCGAAAGCGACAAGACCGUACCGCAAGGAUGGGUCGCCAUACGAAAGUGUGGGAAAUCACUGGGAUAAGACCAGAAACCAGAUGAUCUAUUCCUGGGCAGGACGAAGUCUGGUGAAAACUAGAUGGAAGUCCGCUACCGUUGAUGGGAACCAACCUCUCGGGUGACCUGGGAAUAGGGGUGAAAAGCCAAUCGAAUCUGGUAAUAGCUGGUUCCUUUCGAAAUGUAUCUCAGUACAGCAUAGCCCGAGAUAGAUAAGGGGGUAGAGCUACUAAUUGGAAAGUCAAGGGGAGAAAUCCUCAGCUUUUCUGUUAAACUCCGAAUCCCUUAUCGUUGUAGACGGCUAAAAGUGAGGGGGUCCGGGAAAGCUGGGCUCCCGAGAGGGGAACAACCCCGAUCAAGGCUAAGGUGCCUAAAUACUAACUAAACGGUGAAGGACGUCUGAAUCCUCAGACAGUGGGAAGAUGGGCUCAGAAGCAGCCAUUCUUUAAAGAGUGCGUAAUAGCUCACCCAUCGAGGUUUCAGGCUCCCAAAAUGGAAGGCACUAAGUUAGUUACCGAGACCUUGAACUUCGAAAGAAGUGGUAGGAAGGCGUCCCGAAUGAGUCGAAGCACGGUCGUAAGAUCGUGUGGAUCGUUUGGGAAUGAAAAUCCUGAUACAAGUAGCAGCAUAGCUGGGUUAGAACCCCAGUCAUCUUAAGGGCCAGGUUUUGUCAGCAAUGUCGAUCAUCUGACAGUUAGUCGAUCCUAACCAUAAACGUUAACAUAGUUUAGGGAAAGGGAAGUCUGUUAAUAUUCAGAUGCCAUGAAGAUACGCGCGGCAACGCAAGUCAGAAACCAGACUCUUCGAGAUAGGUCAGCGUAAGUUAAAUACUGAAGCCCAAGGAGUCUUAUAAUGAGGAGAAUUGGGUGAAAGUGUGAAUAGCGUCCCUUAUGGGAUGUCUGACUGAAUCUUGGAGGCCAUGAAAAUGGUUUUUGAAAGGAUUCUUCAUGAUCGUACUCAGAACCGACACUGGUGCCCCUUCCUGAGAAAGGAAAGAUGUGAUGGGAUAACCCUGUUUAGGGAAUUCGGCAACAAUGGCCAUGUAUCUUUGGUAUAAAUGGUGCCUGUGAUCUUUAAUCGGAUCGCAGGUCGCAGUGACAAGGAGGAAGCGACUGUUUAGCAAAAACAUAGGGGACUGCUAGAUAGAAAUGUUUUGUAUAGUCCCUGAGGCCUGCCCAGUGCCGGUGUGUUAAGCUCGAAUCCAAUCGGGUGAAGCCCCGGUCAACGGCGGCGGUAAUGGGUAGUGGUAUAUUAUUUACAUUAUCAAAAUGAAUUAGCUACCUGGGCAGAUAUUUAAUAGUCGUUCUUGGCACUGUAUUGUUGCAAUAAAAGGAAGUUGGAGAGCUGUUGGAUUAUUAGUUGAACUAAAGACUACUAUCCACCGCAUACUCUGACCGUCGUAAAGUAGCGUAAUCCCUUGUCGAUUAAUUGUCGACCCGCAUGAAUGGCUUAACGACUUCCUCGCUGUCCCAAACAGGGACCCAGUGAACCUGCUUUCUGGUGAAUAGGCCAGAGACCUCCAAUGGGAAGUGAAGACCCCGUAGAGCUUUGCUGUAGUCUGGUGCUGUGUUAUGGUUGUGGAUGCAGAGCGUAGGUAGGAGUCACCAUUAGUCUGGGCUUCCGGGUUCAGAUGAGACAAAAGUGGAACACUACCCUUUCGCAAGCAUAACGCUUACCGCGACAGCGGGACAAUGCUUGAUGGACAGCUCGGCUGGGGCGGUACACCCUUGACAAUCGAUCAAGGGUGCCCAAAGAUCAGCUCAUCCCGGUCAGAAAUCGGGAGUAGAGUGUAAGCGCAAAAGCUGGUCUGACUGAAUCCUGGACAACAAAGGAUUCAGCCGCGAAAGCGUGGGCUAGCGAUACAUCAGUUACCUUUAAUGGGUGCUGGUGGUAUCAGAAAAGCUACCUCGGGGAUAGUAUCUAAUGCGAAGAUAUUAUCCAUCGCACCAAGAGUAUGUCUAUGCAUAUACCUAGGUCAAAGUUUCCCAAAAGAUAAAAUUAAAUCACGAUUGGAAGCAUAUAGUAUUAGAUACCCUCAAAACAGGGCCGUAGCUUCCGAGAGUCCAAAUCGACGAAGCGUGUUGCUUCCUCGCUGUCGGCUCCCCCCCUCCUGGUUGCGCAGUAGCAGCCAAGGGUGCAGGUGUCCACUGAUCAAAGGGGGACGCUAGCUGGGUUCAGAACGUCGUGAGACAGUUCGGUCAUUAUCUAUUGGAGGUGCUGUCGUCUGAGAGGAAGAAAGGGUGAGUACGAAAGGAACGCCCUUUCGUGGCCACUGGUGAAUCGGUUGUACAUGCAACGCCGAGUAGCUACGCCAUCAUCAGAUAACCGCUGAAUGCAUCUAAGCGGGAAGCUGUCCUCAAAAAUAGACGAUGAAUCGUAUAACUGAUAGGCAACUAUCGGUGGUGCGUAUAGGGCCCCUAUAGACUAUAGGAUUGAUAGGACAGAGGUGUACGCAUCAAGAGUUCGCUCGAGAUGUUCAGCCUACUGUUACUAAUCGCCCAAAAGACCUAAAUU